CCUUCUCCACCACCACGAAAAAUGCCUCCUUGAUACCACCACAAUCGUACUCCAAAUAUCAUGGGUAUCCCUAAGAUUCCGGUCAGCAGAUCUGUUCCAUCCUCCACAACCACGAAGAAGUUUCACGCCAUUCUCCAAAUCUACUGCUUCUCGAAAGCCCUAAACGGAUUUGAGGGUACAAAUCGAAGAGUUUCUCCACAAAUCUAUACACCAACUUCGAUUUCAAACGAAAUAAAGAUAUUUAUUCAUCUGUACAAUACCAGAUCUGAGGCAACAAAAUGAACAUUGUUGGCGUCGAUUCAUCAUCGAAUAUAGGUUUCUAACCUAACAGAGGAUGUUAACUGCGAAAGGAAAUGCAAUGCAUAACUGCCCCAAAUCAAAAUCACAUUUUAC